rnacentral:rRNA from 1 species
UACGUAGGGUGCGAGCGUUGUCCGGAAUUAUUGGGCGUAAAGAGCUUGUAGGCGGUUUUGUCGCGUCUGCCGUGAAAGCCCCAGGGCUUAACCCUGGGUCUGCGGGUGGGUACGGGCAGACUAGAGCGUGGUAGGGGAGACUGGAAUUCCUGGUGUAGCGGUGAAAUGCGCAGAUAUCAGGAGGAACACCGAUGGCGAAGGCAGGGUCUCUGGGCCGUAACUGACGCUGAGGAGCGAAAGCAUGGGGAGCGAACAGGA